CUCAUAUUAAAAGAUAUAAAAUUUUAAUCAAUAACGAGAGUGACGGGCGAUGUGUACACACUUCAGAGCCAAUAUCAGUUAAAUUAAAUAAUUUAAAUUACUAUCAAAUCCACCUUCAUUAAAAUAUUACAAAAUUAAAUCCAUAAUAAAAAAAAAUUAUUGUAACCCAUCAUACACUUAACUAUAAGCUGCACCUUGACCUGAAAUAAAUUUUAAUAAAAAAACAAGAAAAUUUUUUCUCCAAAAAGAUUUUCUGAUAACGGAGAUAUACAAACAAAUAAAUUAAGUAAAGUAAAUCGUGUACUAUCAAUCAUGAGAUAGGUUCCUCUGAAUGGAAUGAAAUACCGCCAAAUUCUUUGGGUUUAAAGACCUUAACUAAUAAUACCCAGGUAAAACAAAAUUUACAUUUAAAAUAAUA
rnacentral:rRNA from 1 species